AUUUUCUCUCCAAAGGAAAACACCUUCAUUUUAAGUCAAACAAUGGCCGACGAAUCUUCUCUCUCUCGCUGGUCCUUUCUGUUUGGGUGGAGGAGAUUAACUGAGCCACAGGACGAUCAAGCUGCUGAUGCGACCGUCUCCAAUGUCACUGUGACCUCAAAUGGAAAUCAUUCUGCUAAGAACUCGUCUGAUAUGGCUAUUUACGAGCAGUACCAAAAGCAGAAUACGAACCAGGUGCUUUCCAAUGGUGUGGUGUC